rnacentral:rRNA from 1 species
CGGCCUUCGGGUUGUAAACCUCUUUCAGUAGGGAAGAAGCGAAAGUGACGGUACCUGCAGAAGAAGCGCCGGCUAACUACGUGCCAGCAGCCGCGGUAAUACGUAGGGCGCAAGCGUUAUCCGGAAUUAUUGGGCGUAAAGAGCUCGUAGGCGGUUUGUCGCGUCUGCCGUGAAAGUCCGGGGCUCAACUCCGGAUCUGCGGUGGGUACGGGCAGGCUAGAGUGAUGUAGGGGAGACUGGAAUUCCUGGUGUAGCGGUGAAAUGCGCAGAUAUCAGGAGGAACACCGAUGGCGAAGGCAGGUCUCUGGGCAUUAACUGACGCUGAGGAGCGAAAGCAUGGGGAGCGAACAGGAUUAGAUACCCUGGUAGUCCAUGCCGUAAACGUUGGGCACUAGGUGUGGGGGACAUUCCACGUUUUCCGCGCCGUAGCUAACGCAUUAAGUGCCCCGCCUGGGGAGUACGGCCGCAAGGCUAAAACUCAAAGGAAUUGACGGGGGCCCGCACAAGCGGCGGAGCAUGCGGAUUAAUUCGAUGCAACGCGAAGAACCUUACCAAGGCUUGACAUGGACCGGACCGCCGCAGAGAUGUGGUUUCUCCUUUUGGGGCCGGUUCACAGGUGGUGCAUGGUUGUCGUCAGCUCGUGUCGUGAGAUGUUGGGUUAAGUCCCGCAACGAGCGCAACCCUCGUUCCAUGUUGCCAGCGCGUAAUGGCGGGGACUCAUGGGAGACUGCCGGGGUCAACUCGGAGGAAGGUGGGGACGACGUCAAAUCAUCAUGCCCCUUAUGUCUUGGGCUUCACGCAUGCUACAAUGGCCGGUACAAAGGGUUGCGAUACUGUGAGGUGGAGCUAAUCCCAAAAAGCCGGUCUCAGUUCGGAUUGGGGUCUGCAACUCGACCCCAUGAAGUCGGAGUCGCUAGUAAUCGCAGAUCAGCAACGCUGCGGUGAAUACGUUCCCGGGCCUUGUACACACCGCCCGUCAAGUCACGAAAGUUGGUAACACCCGAAGC